rnacentral:rRNA from 1 species
CUACGGGCUGCAGCAGUGGGGAAUUUUGCGCAAUGGGGGAAACCCUGACGCAGCGAUACCGCGUGAGUGAAGAAGGCCUUUGGGUCGUAAAGCUCUUUUCUAAGGGAAGAUAGUGACGGUACCUUAGGAAUAAGCGCCGGCUAACUCCGUGCCAGCAGCCGCGGUAAUACGGAGGGCGCGAGCGUUGUUCGGAUUUACUGGGCGUAAAGGGCGCGUAGGCGGCCUGGCAAGUUAAGGGUGAAAUCCCGGGGCUCAACCCCGGAACUGCUCUUAAAACUGCCAAGCUAGAGAUGGUCAGAGGCGGGUGGAAUUCCAGGUGUAGAGGUGAGAUUCGUAGAUAUCUGGAGGAACACCGGUGGCGAAGGCGGCCCGCUGGGGCCAUUCUGACGCUGAGGCGCGAAAGCGUGGGGAGCGAACGGGAUUAGAUACCCGUGUAGUC